rnacentral:lncRNA from 10 species
UCUUGGGGUUACUAAACAGAACACUGUCCCCAAGGAAGAUAAGACUGAGCACUGUGGGCUGUGUGGCCUUCAUUUUCAUGUGCGGGUAGAUUACUCUUACAGAAGGACAUGAGCUUCCUAGAGGCAGAGAGUAAACUUUUUCAAGAGAAUUGGAGAAUGACUCUGUUAUCUGAGAAGAAGUGUUACAGGAAGGUUGUUUUUAUUUUGAAGAUCAAAAUGGAAUUCCAAUCCAAGCCUAAAGAUGUAAAUUCACUCUUUUCUCAGGGAUGAUGUGAUUCUGAGCCUGUGAGGUGGUAGAUAUCUAACCAUCAGUAUAUACUCUGUAUAUUUCCUUCUCCAUGAAGGUGGGCUGAACCUGUGAAAAUGAUGAGAUCAACUCUCAUGAUUAGGUCAUGUUAUGUGACACAGUUAACUUUAAAAAAGGAAAAUUAUCCAUAGUGAAACUGACAUAACCAGACCACUCAUUAAAAGGGACUCCUCAUUUCCCUUUUAAUGGGGACAGAGAUUUCACCUGAGGGAGAUUCUCCAUUACGGGCCUAGGAGAUGGGGUCAGGGAAGACGUGGCAAGGGCGAGAAAGUGGCCUCUAGGAUUUGAGAGUCACCUCUGGACAACAUCCAACAAAAAAUGGGGACCUCAGUAUUACAACCACUAAAUUCUGUCACCAACCCUAUAAGCUUAGGAGAGGACUUUGAGUUCCAGAGAACGAAGACUAAAUGGCAUCUUACUUUCAGCCUUGUGAGACCCUGAACUCUCAGCUAUGCAAUGCCCAGACUUCUGCCAUACAGAUCUGUGAGAGGAUACAUGAAUAUUAUUUUAAGCCAUUAAGUUUUUAAAUAAUUUGUUACACAGCAACAGAAAACUAGUACAUGUACUGAAAAGCUGUCAAGUUCCCAGUGCUCGAUUCAAGUCUUCCAAAGUUGAAGUUUUUACCUAAAAGCUCAAAUUGAAUCAACAAAUAAAGCCAAUCAAGAGGCUCACAUCAGCCACUUGGAGAAAAUGUGUACCAGAAAAAACAAAGCUUCAGUAAUCACCAUUUUUCAAGCAUUUUUUUUCAAGAGCUGAUGUCACAGUAACCACGUAACCUGAAAACUAAGGUAACAUGGAUCUCUCCCAGGAGUGAUGGAAUACAAAUACUGGCUCACCUGUGGCAUCAGAAGAAAAAUAGCACCUCUCUGAAAGCAGGCUCUUUUUCAUGAACGUCUACUGGGUGCUCAUAAGAAAGAAUGGUGGUGCGGAGAAGAUUGGACAGUAUCUCCUUGGUGAGGCAGGCUAGAGAGAAGAAGAACCACCAGUGUAGAAAGAAAUGAAAUGCACUAAAGACCCUACAAAACAAAACCCCGAAAUCCCUGAGGAAAAGGUAGUACAUCUCAGCAUCCCUAGAACAUGGUGAAGACCCAUUGUAGCUGCAAUAUAUGUCGAAGAAAAGAAACCCGGCACUGUAGAAAGGAAGAAAUGCAUCCUGUGCCCAGACCAUGAGAAAUCACUGUCUGUUGGGAGAGGAGCUGAGUCACAGAGAAAUGACCACUCAUGCAGCAUAGCAACACAGGUCCCUAAGAUUGAAACAGGACUGAAACAGGACAACUAAGAACCCACCGUCAUACCUACCACCCACUUUAGCAAACAUCAAAACGUAAGAAAGAGAGGACUACUGCUGAGAGAAGGACAGAAGGGUAGAGAAAAGAUCUAUUCAUAGUAAAGGCACACCUGGACAGCCUAAGGUCUCUGUGAAAAAUUGAAGGGAAAACCACUCACCCAUGUAUCCAUAAUUUCUUGGUAUAUGAUUCUCUUCAAACCAACUAAACUCCUGUCUAAAUUACCUCAAUUCGCAAGUCAAUAACCUAGCAGAAAGAGUUGGUCCAUUUCCAGGCAUAAGUACUGUGCAGUUUCUGCUUUCUAAAUACUAUAUCUGACAAUGAAUGGAAACAUUCAAGAUACAAAAAAGCAAGGAAAAAACCCCACAAUACGCUAUCAGGAGACAAUAUCUUCAACAGAAUGAGACUAAGAGAGCCAUAUAUGUUGGAAUUAGUAGGUAGAAAAUUCAAAUUAACUAUGAUUACUAUGAUAACAUCUCUCAUGAAAAAGUUAUAAACAAAUAAGAAACUUCAGCAGAAAGUUAGAAACUCUAAGAGUAAAAUGGAAAUAACAAAUUCAGCUUAAAUUUGAUUGCUGUAUACAUGACUAUUUUUAUAUCUUGUUACUCUUUCCCUCUUGUUACUUUAAUCUAUUGCAUUUUUUAUAUUUAAAAUAAAUUGUUUAUUCUAGGCACA